rfam:Trichobilharzia regenti genome assembly, scaffold: TRE_scaffold0008420
GUUUUGAUGAAGAGUCCCAAACUAGGACGAAACAGCUGUCCAGUAC